ACACCAGCUAUCUCCUGCUCCCUGUCCUGCACUGCAAAGGAGGCCUUUUCAUCCUCUCUACUGCCUCCAAUUUUUCUCACGAGGAAUGUGAGAGGAAAACCUAGAGCUUGUUCCUGAAGCAUGGUGCUAAGUCCAUAUGCAGCAGAUGGAGCUCAUGAGAAAAGAGUUGCUCUUGUGAAGACCAAAGCUUGCACAUAUCCUUCCUGCCAUCACGUGAAGAAGGACACGUUUCGUUCCCCUCCUUCCAUGAUUGUAAGUUUCCUGAGGCCUUCCCAGCCAUGCAGAACUGUGAGGUGUCAGAUCCCCGGCGAUGGAAAGCAGUCAACUCAUGGGUAGUAAAAAGAAUGUAUUGACAACACUAUAGGUUUGAAAAGGAAAGUUUUAUUAGAUGGAAAGAACAGUGCAGAAGACCGCAGCAGAGGACCUCAGCAAGAGAGAACUAAUUUGUCAGUUUCAAAUACUCAUGUAUCUGAUUGUCAAUGCUGGAGAGCUGGGGCCAGGGCAGUAGUUGAUGAAUAUCACCUGACUGUCUCCUGCAGAAAAAGCAUUCCCAGAAGCACGGAGAAGUGAGGAGAAAAGGCAAUGCACCUGGAGCUGGAGACCAAGGCCCUGUUCUUACUGAUGGCCCUUGGAGCAGAUAUUUGAAUUGGAGAGAUAAAACCGUGGUUUUUGGGGUGUUAAUUUUGGUGGCUGAUGCAUUCUGUGAUUGAUUUGGCUAUUACAACUGGUAUUGAUUUUAAACACAUUAAUUGCAAAAUCUCAAUUGUGAUUUGAUUUCUGUAUUUACAAUACUAAAAACGAGGCUUUCGCCAGGAGAAGACAAUUGGCAGUACUCAGUUGGAAGUGCUUAAUUGUUAAUAUAUAUCAGCCGUGGUUCUUCAGCGUCGUCAGUGUUGCUCAGUCUUGCUCUUUGUGGCGACUACUGAAUGCUUGAAAAAUUCUCUCCUAUACUCCCACUCUGCACUGUAGAAGAGAAAGAGAGGAGAGUGGAAGAAAAAAGAGAGGGAGAGGAGAAAGAAAGAGAGGAGAGAGAAACAUGGGCAUGGAUGAUACAUAAGGUAGUUGUAAACUGUGAUCAGCUUUGAUAAUAACUAGAUAAAUUCUUUUAAUACAAAAAUAUAUAAGGCAUUUUGCCUUUUUUUCAAAUUUCAAAUAAAUGGAUUUGUAUAGAAUGUAGUCUGUUGCCCAGAGUUUUCAUUUAGCAUAAUGCAUUUGAGAUUUAUCCAUGUUGUUGUAUAUUCUUUUUAUUGCUGAGUAGUAUUCCAUUGUGUGGAUAUACCAGUUUGUUUAUCCAUUAACCUUUGAUGGAUAUUUGGGUUUUUUUCAAUAUGAGGCUCUUAUAAAUAAACCUUCUGUAAUCAGGUC
rnacentral:lncRNA from 1 species